UUUUAUUUUAUUUUUUUAAUUUUUGAUGGCUUAUUCAGCCUUUUAUUUAAUAAACCGAAAAGGGGUCUGUACAAGGCCCAUGGCCCAAACAACAAAGCCAAAACAAAGCAAAAAAUUGGAUGGGUCUAAAAGACCCGAUCCAACACCUAUCUAAUCCCUUACAGAGAGGGCAAAUAUCUAUUUUUGGAAAGUCUCCAGAAGACCAAUUUCCUACUUUGAUGCUUCCCUUCAGAAUCUUCCUCCAAUGUUCUCCAAGUUGAAGCUUGCUGGUAAUGUUAUCUUCCAUUUUGCUUCUUUCCCUGAAAUAUCUAUUCUCUUAAUUGUCCCUUUUUUUUCUUUUUCUUUUUUUUCCGGAAAGUCUUUCCAUUCCUAUGGUGAAGGACCAAUUUGCUGAUAGGAUCUGCAACGGAUCCAGCUGUGAUUGAAGCCACUUAGCUGAGUUGACUCCUUCUCGCUCUACACAACCCUGUACCCCCCUUAUUUUUCGUGUAUACAUGCUCCUGAAAAUCUGUCUAACUUUAUGUAUCCAGCAAUGUCUUCUUGACAAGAUAAAUUAUCUGUUAUGGUAUGGUUUGUCAUGUUUAUCAAAUACUGCGUGAUGUUCUUGCUGUUACUUUCAAGAAUAUUUGUUAAUCUGUGGUGCUCCCUGCUCUUAAAUAUCUUUGUUAAUGCUUGGGCUUCCUGACAUAAUUAAAUUGUGUUUGACUUAUUUUCCUAAAAAAUACUUUUGAG
rnacentral:lncRNA from 1 species